CAGUCUGGAUCAUGGAGGACACACGAGGAUUACAGCAGGACCACGCAAAUAUGCCUGUUUCCUCACUCUGGAUCCAAACACGACAUACGCUUUUCUCAUUCUGUCUGAGGAGAACAGAGAGGUGAAGCGUGUGAGAGAGUAUCAGCGGUAUCCUGAUCAUCCAGACAGAUUUGAUGAUGAUCCUCAGGUGUUGUGCAGAGAGAGUGUGUGUGGACGCUGUUAUUGGGAGAUUGACUGGAGUGGAGAUGAUGUGUGGAUAUCAGUGUCAUAUAAGAGCAUCAGGAGGAAGGGAGUAGAUCCUGAGUAUUUGUUCGGAUGUAAUGCUCAGUCCUGGAGUUUGCGCUGCUCUUCCUCCAGUUAUAUAUUUUGGCAAAAUGACACACGCACUGAUCUCCCAGUGAAACCGCUCAGCAGGAGAAUAGGAGUGUUUGUGGAUCACAGUGCAGGAACUCUGAUCUUCUACAACAUCUAUAGAGACACAAUGAGCCUCAUCCACUCAGUCCAGACCACAUUCACUGAGCCGCUCUAUCCUGGGUUUACUAUUUGGUGUCAAUCAUCAGUCAAACUGUGCUGAAGACUGAGAAGGAGCAGUCAGUAGCAGUGUGUGUGUGUGUGUGUGUGAGAGAGAGAGAGAGUGUUUGUUUGUGUAUGUGUGAAAGAGCAUGUGUGUGCGAGUGUGUGUGUGUGUUUGAGUGUGUGCAUGAGUGUAUGUUUGUCUGUGUGGGAUUUUUUUUUCUACAAAAAUACUUUCUUACAUCAUUUUUUUUUUGACACAUUGUAACUCCACAUCAGAUGUAACAGCAGCUCUCCUACCUCCACACUGCAGACAGCGUCCUUAUAACAGCACUGUUGUUCAAAGGUUUCAGCAUCAUUUAUGGCCUUGUAAUACUUUAAAUCUAUUUUAAUUCUGGACCUGACGAACGCUUUAAAACUCUCAAUCUCUUGACCAUGUACAUCAGGGGUGUCAAACUCAAUUCCUGGAGGGCCGAAGCCCUGUACAGUUUAGUUCCAACCCUGCUCCAACACACUUACCUGUAGGUUUUAAACAAGCCUGAAGGACUCAAUUAGUUUGAUCAGGUGUGUUUAAUUAGGGUUGGAACUAAACUGUGCAGAGCUGCGGCCCUUUUGCAACUGAGUUUGACACCUGUGAUGUACAUCAUCUAUUUAGUUUCUUCUUGUGAUAAGUAGAGCAAGUUUUGCUUGAGCAACUAAACAGUGAAUGAACUGCUAUUUCAGUUUGUGUUUCUGACUAUAGCCAACUCCAGAAGAAACUUACAUUGAGUCAAAUUCUCUCCACAUUUCAGGAAAACUCUGCUCAACAUAUCAAACUAUUGUGUUAAACGUGUACAGUCUCUCUAUGUCCACAGAAGAGACACUCGUCAUGGACACUAUAGAGUGAACAACACGUAUGAAAUCAUUCACUGCCACAAUCCCCUGCAGAAUCCUCCAUUGUAAAUCCCCAACACAUUUUGUCAAAGUUGGUUUAUACAAAACUCUCCACACUGGUUUUCCCCCUAAAGUAUCAUGAAAUGUCCGUUAUUUCUGUUAAUCUGCCUUUGUCACCUCUCUGAUCCGUAAUAAUAAUAAUAAUAAUCAUAAUAUUAGACAUUUGUUUGGACAUGAUGUGCUCUCUUCAACAAGCAGCUUUUCUCUUCAUUCUGCAGGCUGUUCGCUCUGGCAGUUGGUCAGAUAUUUGUAAGCAAGCCUAUAAUAAAAAGCAGAGUUAUUCUGCAGUCAGGUGAUGUGCUCCAUCAGGCACAACAAUCUUGAUAGUAUCUUGUAGUGUGCUGUGCCGCAGUUUUCAUAUCUUGUAGUAACAUAUUUUUAAAAGUGUACUGAUUAUAUUUUUAAAUUUAGCCUACAUAAUUAGGCACAAUUUAAACUUUCAAAACAUCAUGUUUUUCCCACCUCGGGCAUUAAAGCCUUUAUAUUAUUUUCUCUUUUAUUCUUAAUUGGGCAGCCAUUAUUCUCAACCCUGUAAUAGACUAAACUGAGUUGGUAAUAGUAUUUUACAAAGCUUUUGCUAUAACACCAACAUUUCCCUGUUGCUCAUAUGUCCCUCAAAUCAGUUUAAUGGCUAAAACAUCACAUUUUUAAUGAGUUUUAGAUUCAUAUGUGAUUUAAGUUACAAUUAUACAUACUUGUGCAUUCUGUGGUCUCUUAAUUUUUUAAAAAGUUUUACAUUUAGAUGUCUUACCCCACCCACAUAAUUACAAUGUUAGGCCUUAACAUGCUGGUUGGUUCUCAGCAAUAUUUUUUUCUAUAUUUAAUUGUUUUCCUUUAAAAAUAUGAAUCUCACAGGGUGGAGAAUACAGUGACGGGUUUAAGACCAUAACAGGGUUAAGAGGACACUUAAAUUUCAGUUUUAAUUUGUUUUAGUUCAUUUGAAAUUACAUCUAACACUUACUUAACAUUUAUUUUAGUAAAACAUUUAGCAAAGGCAUUAAUGAGAUAAAGGCAAACCGGGAUGAAAUGAAACUUCAUUAAACCAAACCACAGUCAGAAUUCAAAAAAUUGAAGUGCUGCAGGUAACUGGACUGUUAGUAACCUUUAAAAAUGCUGAUAAAGGCCUGUGUUACCCAAUCUAUUGCUGAACAGAACCUACAGUAAACAGAAGCAACAGGUAAAGUCUUGUCUAAAACUUUAUUUCCUGGAACAUAAAUAAAAACUGCAGCAGAAAAGUUCUUGAUGAAAUUAUUAAUGAAAAUACUUAAUAAUAUUAAUUAAAAAUAAAAUUAUAUAGCCAGAUAGGCUGAUCUGCUUAUUUCAGAAACUGCUGAUCUAUUGGGAUUUUCACACACAACAAUCUUUAGGAGAGAAAAUUAUAUAGUGAGCAACAGUAACUGAAAUAACCACUCGUUACAACUGAGGACUGCAGAGGAGCAUCUCUGAACACACAAAACCACACUUCCAACCCUGAGGUGGAUGGGCAGCAGGAGGGGAUUCAAUCAGGGAUUCCAAAACCUUUUGUUUGCCUAACCCUCUGUAUCUAUAAUAUUAAUACGAGUUAUGCCCUCAAUGACCCCCUCUCUAAAGUUGGGUAAUUGUCACAUGACAUAGAGAUAAACAAAUGAACUAAUACAUAAUUUAAGUAUUUUUUUGUUCUGAUUUUAUUAGCUUUACAUAAACUCAUGAUGAAACUCGUGACACUCAAUAUAAAAUCUGCUGCUGGUACGGGUGCCGUGUUUGACAUUAAAUAGUGUCAAAGUUUAAGUAAAACACAGCUUCAAAUAUUCUAUCAGUAACAAUUUUUAAAAAAAAUGUUUUUAAUGAAUAUUCCUGAUUAAUUAGGUCAAUAUACCCAAAACAAUGACAUGUGUGAUGGGGUUGAGUUUUUAAAGCAGAAUGUCCUCUGCUCCUUGUGUGGUUUAAAAGAGAAUGCCCACAUGGCAGCAAUUAAACAAGAAUAUGUUAUAUUGUUUGGAAAUAAAAAAAACAAUCAUAUUCCAUCUUAGUUUUACGUUACGGGGUUGAAUUGUUAAGCUUGACCGCAUCCUUCCUAACUAUAAUAAAAUCAAAAAAUGUAAAUAAAUGAAAAUAUAGCUUCUUUUGCACCAUGCUGAGAAAGAGAGCUGAAUGAUGUCACUUUCCAUCUGGAUGUCAUAUAAGAGUAGGGUCUGAAUUGCUGUAGGUGGAGAAUUGCUGGUGUGACAGGGUUGAGUUUAUAUUGAGGGACAUAACUUUGUAGCCUGUUUUUUAUUAAAAAAUCUUAUUUAUUUUUUAUUUAUCACAAGUAAAUAACACAAAUAAAUAGCUGUAAUACAAAAAAAAAUUUAAACACUGUGUCUACAUGCAAUUUCAAAGAAGUGCCUCGGGGGCAUGACAAAUAGCUUGGUUUGUGACAGACAUAUUAUAUUUUUUAUGCUAAAGCUGCAUUUAAUGUAUUUUUUUAUUCAUUAUAAUGUACAAAGUAGAUCAAUGAAAAAUGCUUUUAACAUGUCAUUUAAGUCGACAACCACUAUAAAAAAAUAUGGGGGACUGAAAUAUUACAGAACGCCAGGAAUGACUUAAUUAUAUCUAAGAUAAUUUUGUAAAACAAUAUGUUUUGUUAAAUGUAUAAUGUAUAAAUAGUUCCAUCACAUCAGCUGAGGCAAAAAGCAAUAAUGCAGCCAUUUCUUCUUGUAGUGUUGAUGUGGCUGUUUUGAAAGAAUUUGUGUGAAAGGCAUCAGGAACUUCUGGGAACUGCACAACUCUGUGUAAUGUUUUCACACUUCCAUGUGUCGAUUUUAUUUCUCAAUCAUUUUUACAUUCAUUAAUUUUAUCAGCCUUCAUUGUGAUCAUUUUCUCUUUAUUGGUUAUACCUCACAAUCACAAACAGUCACAACUGGUUCCAUUCUUUUGAAUUGUGUGGGUUAUUGAGCCAGGCCUCCAUUCGAUUCCUGAUUUUGCUCCGCGAGCAAAGGGCAGGAGUGGGCGUGUCCAGCAGGGGAGAAGGAGGGCAGAGAACAACUGUUGUCAGUUAGCUCACAGAAUGAAACACGUGAUUUUAUAGUUUAUAAAGUUAAAAUGCAAAGAAAUAAACAGUAAUGUAAUGCCCGGCUACAUUUGUUAUUCGUAAUUUCAUAUACACUUAACCACAAUUUAUAUCAUUAUAAAGAUAAUCAUGUUCAUAUAAACUCUAUAAUUGAAGACUUUUCCCUUAAUCCCCUUGUCUGAACCAUAGGUCUGAAUGCAGGCUCAGUGCAGCAGGCCUCUUGCCCUGUCUAUUUCAACCAUUAGCCCAGUUGGUAAUCUAGAGGAUUUAGGCGAACACAACAGCACGGCGAUGUGUCUAAAUGUGAACAAACUCCUGAUAAAAGACAAUGUCCGCCAUUCUCCAAUUCUCGUACUGCUCUUCCGUCAAAAAUGCUUGCUGCACACACAGCUUUGCUGUAUUGGCCCUGACAGGAUCUUAGGGAAAAACAUGCAACAAACACUGUGGAUCAUGAUAACAAACACAUACGAGCCUUCAUAAACGGUGUGAUGGUUGAUGGGUCAGAUGACAUUAAUCAUAUGAGACACAAAAAAAUCACUGAUGUAUUCUGAUAUUCCUAUGCGUAAAAGUACAACUCUUAACGAUGAAAUGAAACGUAAGAGAAAGAAAAGGCGACUCCGACAGAGGGUGCGCCGAGCCAACAAAUCAGCUGGACGAACUCUCUGUGAACCCCUUGCUACUUCAGAUGACCCUCUUGCUAGUAGUCGAACUCUGAAUGAACUCCCAACUUGUACUUUUGCUGAACUUUCUACCGAGUUCACGCACCUGAAUUUAAGUGCAUAACUAUAUAGCACAUUAUAAAUCAAGGCUUAUAUUAAAAUGCCUAAAUGUUGAUUUAUAUGAUACAAUGUACUCUUGAUGACUAUAUAUCUGUCUUUUUACUGUUCAAGUGAUUUAGCAUGCUCCUUGAAUGUAUGAUUUAAGUAGUCUGUGCACCUGUGUUUAGGGUUGAUUUAUGAAUACUGUCACUGAGACACUGAGUAUAAAAGCUGACAUGUACUCUUCAGCUUUGCGCUUCCUGACUUCUGUUCAUUGAGGUUGGUUGCCCUUUGUCCGCCAACUGGGGACAAAGUAAGGAUUUUGUUUUCUGUUUGUCUUUUGUUUAUUCUACUUUUUCACUGGAUUUUGUUUUAUUAAUAAAAGUGUAUUUUAUUACUUUU